AGUGAACGCUGGCGGUAGGCCUAACACAUGCAAGUCGAACGGCAGCACAGUAAGAGCUUGCUCUUACGGGUGGCGAGUGGCGGACGGGUGAGGAAUACAUCGGAAUCUACUUUUUCGUGGGGGAUAACGUAGGGAAACUUACGCUAAUACCGCAUACGACCUACGGGUGAAAGCAGGGGAUCUUCGGACCUUGCGCGAAUGAAUGAGCCGAUGUCGAAUUAGCUAGUUGGCGGGGUAAAGGCCCACCAAGGCGACGAUCCGUAGCUGGUCUGAGAGGAUGAUCAGCCACACUGGAACUGAGACACGGUCCAGACUACUACGGGAGGCAGCAGUCGGGAAUGUUGGACAAUGGGCGCAAGCCUGAUCCAGCCAUACCGCGUGGGUGAAGAAGGCCUUCGGGUUGUAAAGCCCUUUUGUUGGGAAAGAAAAGCAGCAGGUUAAUACCCCGCUGUUCUGACGGUACCCAAAGAAUAAGCACCGGCUAACUUCGUG
rnacentral:rRNA from 1 species